ACGGGUGAGUAACACGUGGGUGAUCUGCCCUGCACUUCGGGAUAAGCCUGGGAAACUGGGUCUAAUACCGGAUAUGACCUCCUAUCGCAUGGUGGGUGGUGGAAAGAUUUAUCGGUGCAGGAUGGGCCCGCGGCCUAUCAGCUUGUUGGUGGGGUAAUGGCCUACCAAGGCGACGACGGGUAGCCGACCUGAGAGGGUGACCGGCCACACUGGGACUGAGACACGGCCCAGACUCCUACGGGAGGCGGCAGUGGGGAAUAUUGCACAAUGGGCGAAAGCCUGAUGCAGCGACGCCGCGUGAGGGAUGACGGCCUUCGGGUUGUAAACCUCUUUCAGCAGGGACGAAGCGCAAGUGACGGUACCUGCAGAAGAAGCACCGGCUAACUACGUGCCAGCAGCCGCGGUAAUACGUAGGGUGCAAGCGUUGUCCGGAAUUACUGGGCGUAAAGAGUUCGUAGGCGGUUUGUCGCGUCGUUUGUGAAAACCAGCAGCUCAACUGCUGGCUUGCAGGCGAUACGGGCAGACUUGAGUACUGCAGGGGAGACUGGAAUUCCUGGUGUAGCGGUGAAAUGCGCAGA
rnacentral:rRNA from 1 species